rnacentral:rRNA from 1 species
GAUGAACGCUGGCGGCGUGCCUAAUACAUGCAAGUCGAGCGAAUGGAUUAAGAGCUUGCUCUUAUGAAGUUAGCGGCGGACGGGUGAGUAACACGUAGGUAACCUGCCCAUAAGACUGGGAUAACUCCGGGAAACCGGGGCUAAUACCGGAUAACAUUUUGAACCGCAUGGUUCGAAAUUGAAAGGCGGCUUCGGCUGUCACUUAUGGAUGGACCCGCGUCGCAUUAGCUAGUUGGUGAGGUAACGGCUUACCAAGGCAACGAUGCGUAGCCGACCUGAGAGGGUGAUCGGCCACACUGGGACUGAGAAACGGCACAGACUCCUACGGGAGGCAGCAGUAGGGAGUCUUCCGCAAUGGACGAAAGUCUGACGGAGCAACGCCGCGUGAGUGAUGAAGGCUUUCGUGUCGUAAAACUCUGUUGUUAGGGAAGAACAAGUGCUAGUUGAAUAAGCUGGCACCUUGACGGUACCUAACCAGAAAGCCACGGCUAACUACGUGCCAGCCGCCGCCGUAA